rnacentral:rRNA from 1 species
UACGUAGGGGGCUAGCGUUGUCCGGAAUCAUUGGGCGUAAAGGGUGCGUAGGCGGGUCUUUAAGUCAGGGGUGAAAUCCUGGAGCUCAACUCCAGAACUGCCUUUGAUACUGAAGAUCUUGAGUUCGGGAGAGGUGAGUGGAACUGCGAGUGUAGAGGUGAAAUUCGUAGAUAUUCGCAAGAACACCAGUGGCGAAGGCGGCUUCCUGGACCGACACUGACGCUGAGGCGCGAAAAGCUAGGGGGAGCAAAACGGG